rnacentral:RNase_MRP_RNA from 1 species
UCGCGGAGCCUUGGUGGCGGGCUCGGGCCCUUCGCAGCAGCACAGACAUGCCGUGAGCGCUCAUGAAUGGAUCGACAACAGAACGGGGCUCACUCUCC